rnacentral:tmRNA from 2 species
GGGGCUGAUUCUGGAUUCGACGGGAUUUGCGAAACCCAAGGUGCAUGCCGAGGGGCGGUUGGCCUCGUAAAAAGCCGCAAAAAAAUAGUCGCAAACGACGAAACCUACGCUUUAGCAGCUUAAUAACCUGCUUAGAGCCCUCUCUCCCUAGCCUCCGCUCUUAGGACGGGGAUCAAGAGAGGUCAAACCCAAAAGAGAUCGCGUGGAUGCCCUGCCUGGGGUUGAAGCGUUAAAACGAAUCAGGCUAGUCUGGUAGUGGCGUGUCCGUCCGCAGGUGCCAGGCGAAUGUAAAGACAGACUAAGCAUGUAGUACCGAGGAUGUAGGAAUUUCGGACGCGGGUUCAACUCCCGCCAGCUCCACCA